rnacentral:rRNA from 1 species
UGCAGUCGAGCGGCAGCACGGGUACUUGUACCUGGUGGCGAGCGGCGGACGGGUGAGUAAUGCCUAGGAAUCUGCCUGGUAGUGGGGGAUAACGCUCGGAAACGGACGCUAAUACCGCAUACGUCCUACGGGAGAAAGCAGGGGACCUUCGGGCCUUGCGCUAUCAGAUGAGCCUAGGUCGGAUUAGCUAGUUGGUGAGGUAAUGGCUCACCAAGGCGACGAUCCGUAACUGGUCUGAGAGGAUGAUCAGUCACACUGGAACUGAGACACGGUCCAGACUCCUACGGGAGGCAGCAGUGGGGAAUAUUGGACAAUGGGCGAAAGCCUGAUCCAGCCAUGCCGCGUGUGUGAAGAAGGUCUUCGGAUUGUAAAGCACUUUAAGUUGGGAGGAAGGGCAUUAACCUAAUACGUUAGUGUUUUGACGUUACCGACAGAAUAAGCACCGGCUAACUCUGUGCCAGCAGCCGCGGUAAUACAGAGGGUGCAAGCGUUAAUCGGAAUUACUGGGCGUAAAGCGCGCGUAGGUGGUUCGUUAAGUUGGAUGUGAAAUCCCCGGGCUCAACCUGGGAACUGCAUUCAAAACUGUCGAGCUAGAGUAUGGUAAAGGGUGGGUGGAAUUUCCUGGUGUAGCGGUGAAAUGCGGAGAUUUG